AAGAGGUACCGUAAAAUUGUAACUUAAAUAAUAAGUAAAAUUAUUAAAUUAAAAAAUGAUAAUACGGUGGCACAUAAUCGGAGGCCACGACUGUUUACUAAAAACACAACACAGUGCAAUCAUUAAUAUGAUAGUAUACUGUGUGAAAUUUGCCCGAUGCCAUUAAUAUAAGAGCGGUUAUAGGAAACUGUGACUAAUCGAAAAUCUGGUUAAUAGCGGUCUUAACUAUGAGGAUCCUAAGGUAGCAAAAUCAAUUGGCCAUUAAAUGUGGUCCGGUAUCAAUAAUGUAACGAUGGCCUCACUGUCUCUACAACUUGCUCAGUGAAAUUGAAUUACGCGUGCAGAUGCGCGUUACCUCCA
rnacentral:rRNA from 1 species